UACGUAGGUGGCGAGCGUUGUCCGGAUUUAUUGGGUUUAAAGGGUGCGUAGGCGGUUGAUUAAGUCAGUUGUGAAAUACGGCAGCUUAACUGUCGAGGUGCAAUUGAUACUGGUUGACUUGAGUACAGACGAGGUAGGCGGAAUUGACGGUGUAGCGGUGAAAUGCAUAGAUAUCGUCAAGAACACCGAUAGCGAAGGCAGCUUACUAGACUGUAACUGACGCUGAGGCACGAAAGUGUGGGGAUCAAACAGG
rnacentral:rRNA from 1 species